GAUGAACGCUGGCGGCGUGCUUAACACAUGCCAGUCGAACGGAAAGGCCCAAGCUUGCUUGGGUACUCGAGUGGCGAACGGGUGAGUAACACGUGGGUGAUCUGCCCUGCACUUCGGGAUAAGCCUGGGAAACUGGGUCUAAUACCGGAUAGGACGACGGUUUGGAUGCCAUUGUGGAAAGUUUUUUCGGUGUGGGAUGAGCUCGCGGCCUAUCAGCUUGUUGGUGGGGUAAUGGCCUACCAAGGCGUCGACGGGUAGCCGGCCUGAGAGGGUGUACGGCCACAUUGGGACUGAGAUACGGCCCAGACUCCUACGGGAGGCAGCAGUGGGGAAUAUUGCACAAUGGGCGCAAGCCUGAUGCAGCGACGCCGCGUGGGGGAUGACGGCCUUCGGGUUGUAAACUCCUUUCGCUAGGGACGAAGCGUUUUUGUGACGGUACCUGGAGAAGAAGCACCGGCUAACUACGUG
rnacentral:rRNA from 1 species